AGCUUUCUGGCGCAGUGGAAGCGCGCCGGGCUCAUAACCCGGGUUCGUAGUCCUCUUGAGCACUGUAGAAAUAAAUGAAAGACUAAUAUUAAGCAGAGGACACAAGAUCGAAACUUGUGAAAGCUA